UCCUGCUCCGUCGCCCCAGUGUUCAGACUACCUGUUCAGGACAAUGCUGUUGUACAGUAGUCUGCACAUUGGUUAGACUGGGCAAGGGAAAGCAGCGACAUGGACUAUUGGGGACGCCAGUUGCUCUUGCCAAGGAGAAGACACUUAUUGCUCCUUUCAGAUCUCAUAUACAGUAUUUUUCUUCACAGGUUUUGCACACUAGGGAUUAAGAAACGCAAAGGGACACUGUGAAAAAGGAGGACUGCAGAAUAAUGCGGGGAAGACAUUCUGCUCGCAAUGCUUUAAAGUUUAGUUCUGUGUGCUCCCCCCAACAAAGCCCCCAAAGCGGAUGGGUACAAAGCGAUCCCCACCAGCGGUGAUGGCUCCAAGGGACUGGCUGGACGGAGUUGUCAUGUGUCUGCCUGUCUACACUUGCUGUGCAGAACAUCCUCUCACCUGUACAGCAGGCACAGACAGGCAGUCACAUGACAACCCAGCCUGAGUGACAGCCGGCUCUGACACCCCAGAGCAUCUUCACCAAGAGCUGCAGCCACGAGUCGCUCUGGAUCUCAGAUGGUCGGUCAGUAACCAAGCCGCGUCCUGCAACCCACCUAGAGUCAAACCAACAGUGCCUAUAAAAUACAAUAAAACCCACUGGUGAAAUUUUUA